AUAUAUAAUCAUUAUUAUAUAUAUAAUUAUAUAUAUAUAUAUCGUAAAUUUUCUCCAUUUUAUACAGAUAUAAUAAAAAUAAUGGGGAUCCGUAUCGUGUUCUAAUUAUAAAAAAAUAGAAUAAAUUUUUUGGACAUUCUAUCGAGGGUUUACCGAUUUGAAUGACUUGCCCCAUAGAAAAAAUCAUUUCUUACGCGACAAAAAAGUUAAGUUUCUACUUUGUCCUAAUAAGACCACGAUACCGAAUAUGCCCACGAUACCCUUAAAGGGAUCUCCUCUAUUUUUGUUAUAUCCUGUAUUUCUUAAUUUUAUAGGGAAACAAAAAUGUGAUUUCGCCGUGUCAGUGUUACUACCGCCGAAAGAAAUAAGAUCUGAAGCGCAGCACAUGCCAUUCCUUAUGCAGAAGCACAAAAGCUGCAGAGCACCCAAUCGCAAGAAGUGUAGAUUGCCUCUUUGCGUAGUAAGAGGCCGAAAUUGUUUCCUCCAGUGUCAUGAACCGUUUUGACUAAUGUUAUUAUGUUUUCUUGAGUUAUGCUUGGAAUUACUACCUCGUUUGUAUAUCUUUCUAUUAAAUUUGUCUUUAAGUAUUGUAUACAAAUAAAUAAUUUAACGCUUUAUCAAUUUUUGUUUUAAUUAAAUAUAAUUAUUAUAUAUAACGCUUUUGAUAAUGAUUUAAACUUAGAUUUUAAUUUAAUUAAUCCCAUAUACCGUAUAGUUUUAUUUAAACAUUUCAGCUAAGUUACCUACACGAAAGUAUAGAAAAUAUUUCCAAUCGAAUAGGGUCUACAUAAGCUAACUAGGUUUCCGUACCGUAAUCAACCUCUUAACUUCCCAUUGUAACUUUUAUCUUUUGAUCUCGGUUUGCUUUAAUGGUAUGAACGUCAUUUAAUUUCAGAAAACAAAUCAAAAAAGAAGAAAUCUUUUCGCGACUACACAGAGGAAGCUUUGAAUAAUGCUCUUUAUGAUGUCAGCGUAAGAAAAAGAAGCAUUAAGUCAGCAGCCAAAGCUCAUGGAGUACCCCGAGGCACAAUUUACAGUAGGAUCAAAGCAAAUCACUUCGGAAAGAUGAGAAUGGGACCUGAGACAUUAUUAGGAGAUGAUGGAGAAGAGCGCUUAAAAGCUUGGAUUAUAUAUAACAGUCAGUAUGGUCCUAUCAAGAAAAAGAACAUAAUUAUUGCCGCUCAAAAAAUUGUAGAUGAGAUGGGAAUAAACAAUUUCAAAACUGGAAGUCCGAGUAACAAAUGGUAUGCGGGAUUCUUAAGACGACACCCAAAUAUACAUGAAAUUGUGAAGAGAUGUAAACAUGAACCGAAAGAUAAUGAUGAAACAUUGAAUGCUUGUGAUUACCUAAGUAUUAACUAAAACUGUCCGAAAAUGUAUGCGUCCAGCAAAGUUGGAAUGGCUUACUACUGUAUAAAAUCAUCGUGAUUUCUAUAUACAAUAUGUACUUGUGUUUAUGUAUUUAAUAUAAAAAAAAAGAUAAGUCUAAAAUACAAUAUAUGCAAGUGCAACACCGUUUUCACUCAUUAUCAGAUAAGAAUAAGAAGCCAUUUAUUGCCACAAAUUAUCACGAUGAAAAACUUAUCCUAAUUUUGUUAUUAGGUAAGUACCUACUUUUUUGCUGACACUGACAUCCUGUAGUUAAUGAAUAUAACAGAAGAUACGCAGCAUAACAGCAAAAAUUAAUGUAUAAGUAAAAAACUGUUAUUAUACUUCUUCGACUACGUCAGGAUUCUAUACACCUUGAGUUAGGGUUAUUUGGCAAAGUUUAUGGCAGUAGUGUGUAGCUUGCAAUUGUCUUUUUGCUAACUGCAGAGUUAAAACUAUACUUAAAUUGAAUUAAUCUACUACUGCUGUGUUGUGCGGUAAUCUGUAGUCUUUCUAUAAUUUUGUUAGAAUUUUAACUGUUUAUUUAAAAUUUAAACAGACUACAAGGCCCAUAUUACAAAUACAUUUUAAAGUCAUAAUUAUAUAUACGUUUUAUAAACUUAAAACUAAACACUAUGUAGGCUACAAAACGGCGUGGCUCCGUUGAAUCGUCUGGUCUUGUUUCGGAUUCGGCAGUUUGCCCCGGAACCUCCGAAACACAACAGCCUUCGACCAGAAGUCGACGCACUCGGUGGUCCCCUGCAGGGGUCGCGGCACGCGCACUACAAAAGAAUUGAAGUGCACGUAGUUGCGCGAUCGAAGCUGGUACAACCUAAGCGUUUAGCCGGUGUUCUGGUGUAUAUUUAUACUCAACCACAGCCGUGACAGUGUUAUCAAGGCGCGACACAUACAGCGCUUUACUUGGUGUAUGAAAAAUGAGCUAGUUCGACGGUACCACACUGAGUCUUACGAGGCGCUAUGCGCGCCUUUUUCUUUUUUGACACAAGAGUCAAGUCCUCCUCAUCCACAAUGGCAACAGGGAGCUUCUCUGGAGCCGAUCGCCCUUCGGGUACCUUUCAAAGUAAACUAACCCGGUUCGAUGCGAUCUUCGGACCGGCAAGGGCAUUCGCGUAAACACGUAAUAAUUUGUAAUCUGUCUUGUUUGUGUUUACGAAUAAAAGUAAUUCUAUUCUGUUAUGUGUUAGCGUUGGUAAUAGACUGUUAAUAAUGUUGGGCCAUACGAGCUACAAAAAAACUAGACUAAGUCCCAAUCUAUGCUAAAAACUAUUACUAUGUUGAAUAUUUCAGAAAACCUACCAAGUAAGCAAGCGGCUAAACAAAUUAAAAGGAAGCGAAUCAAAGGAAACAAACCAAUACCUCGUCGCAGAUAUGGUCAAGAUGCUUUAAAACGUGCGCUUGACGAUGUCAUUAUGAAAGGCAAGUCUAUAUACGCGGCGGCCCAAGCACACGGAGUACCAAAGACCACCAUUUACAAUAGAUUUAAAAUGAAUCGCUUCGGUACGAUAAAAAUGGGACCAGGAACAUUAUUAGGUGAUGAUGGAGAGGAACGUGUCAGAAAAUGGAUUAUAUGUAAUGGUACAAACGAACCUCUCGAGAAGCGGGAAAUUUUGGAUAUCGCUAAUGAAAUUUCAAUUGAUCUCGGAAGAUCACAUGCUUUCCUAAAUGGGAAACCUGGAAAUAAAUGGUACCAGAAAUUUUUAAAAAGACACCCUGAUUUGAAAACGUUCGUGAAAUACGCGAGUUAAUAAGUCAGUUAUUAAAUCAUUACCUUUAAAGCCAAAUAUACGUUUUAUAUUUCUUCAUCUUUUAUUUUGCGUUUGCAUUGCCACUAGCUGUAUAAGAGAAGCCUCAAUAUAUAUGCCAUGCUGUAUAAGAAAAUAUAUAUGCCAUACUGGUAUAAAACGUACGUGGUACGUGGUGGUACGUUUACCAGUGCGCCAUUUCCUAUCACAUAAUAUGUAAAACAAUUAAUUAGUGCCCAAUCCAACUUAUUUUGUAAGCGUUACUUCAUUUCAGAAAACGCUUCUAGCAUACAGAAGAAUAGAAAACGUCGUAGAAAAAGUAAAACUGCGUACACUGCUGAGGCUUUAAAAUGUGCUCUUGACGAUAUCAGACACGGUAAAAGUUUCAGACAAACAUCCAGAACCUACGGAAUACCAUUCAAAUCGUACAAACCAACGGAACCCACCCCACACUGAUAUAUCAAGGGUUCUCAUUCACGCCGCACAACGCCGGCCGAGGGAAUCGGGUGCAACUCUGGUACUGCCGGUACCGGCGGAGGUUUAAAUGCAGGGCUGUCGUGAAGACGGUGGGUGAUAUUGUGGUGUCUUCUGACGACGCGAAACAUUCGCAUUUGUAUUCCUAAAGGUUGUGUGAUACUACGCAUAUUGAUAUUUGAUGUGGUAUAUUAGUUAGUUCUCAUUUGUCAUCGCCUCACGUAAACGGGACGGGCACAGAUGGGAACGAUUCAUUCCCAUAUCUCAAGAAAAUUAAUAUAAAAACGAUCAUAAUCGAUCUUGACAGAGUGCGUGGCAGUGGCGACAGCAUUUUAAGCAUUAUAGCCAAUAAGUUUGAUGUCCACUUAUAUGCAAAAUAAGCCAAAAGACCAAACCACUUUUAUUUAUUUAUUUUGAACAUUCAGUUAUGUACAUUCAGUUCAAAACUGACAACAUGUGGACUAUUAUGUUGCCUGUAAUAAAUAAAUUUAUUGAUAAUUUGUGGCCGGCGGGGACAAAAGGGAAUGAAUCCUUUCCAUCUAUGACCGCCUCGGUUUCGUCCUAUCCAUCUCAUUAUACAUAAUGUCGAUUUGAAUAGUUUCUAUAUUGAACUUCGUAAUCGCGGUAUUGAUAUUCGUGACAAAUCCCGACAAACGUGGAGUAGAGACAAAUGGGAAAUACACCCUGCACGCACCCUGCCGUGGGUAUCGCGAACACAUAAGUCGUAGAUUGUCUGUCUGCGAGCGGCGUCUUAAUCGAUUAAGUGUUAACUAUGGAUAAACAAUGUAAAUAUGUAUAAACAAAUAAAGAUAGCAUUUUAUUUAA